UGUGACACUGAGUGGGACAUCUGACACUCAUGCCCUUGGUGGCUCAGCCCUGAGUAAGAGAGAGACCUCUCGACUGGACAAGUUCAAACAGCUGCUUGCUGGCCCCAACACAGACCUUGAGGAAUUACGGAAGCUGAGCUGGUCCGGAAUCCCAAAGCCAGUUCGUCCAAUGACAUGGAAACUUCUCUCAGGUUACCUUCCUGCCAAUGUUGACCGAAGACCAGCCACGCUGCAGAGGAAACAGAAGGAAUACUUUGCUUUCAUUGAGC
rnacentral:lncRNA from 1 species